rnacentral:rRNA from 1 species
UGAUGAGUUGUAGCUGGCUCUCCGGGGCAUGUGCACGCUUGUCUUGAUUUUAUUCAUCCACCUGUGCACCUUUUGUAGUCUUGGGGGUUGAAAGCAGUCGACUAUCGGAUGGCUAUGGCUUUUCCGGAUGUGAGAAAUGCUGAGUGCAUAGACGCAUACAGCUCUUCUCAAAUGACUUGCAAACCCUUGAGUACUAUGUAUUCAUAUACCACGUCGUAUGUUGUAGAAUGUGAUCAAUGGGUCUAUGUACCUAUAAUAAUCAUAUACAACUUUCAGCAACGGAUCUCUUGGCUCUCGCAUCGAUGAAGAACGCAGCGAAAUGCGAUAAGUAAUGUGAAUUGCAGAAUUCAGUGAAUCAUCGAAUCUUUGAACGCACCUUGCGCUCCUUGGUAUUCCGAGGAGCAUGCCUGUUUGAGUGUCAUUAAAUUCUCAACCCCUCCAGUUGUGAUGGGGCUUGGAUAUGGGAGUUUGCGGGUCCUUUAUCAGUAAAGGUCAGCUCUCCUGAAAUACAUUAGCGGAACCGUUUGCAGUCCCGUCACUAGUGUGAUAAUUAUCUACACUGUGAUGAUUGCUCUCUGACUAGUUCAGCUGCUAAUCGUCCGUUACGGACAAUGUUUAAUGAACUUCUUGACCUCAAAUCAGGUAGGACUACCCGCUGAACUUAAGCAUAUCAAUAAGCGGAGGAAAAGAAACUAACAAGGAUUCCCCUAGUAACUGCGAGUGAAGCGGGAAAAGCUCAAA